rnacentral:tRNA from 8 species
GGAGGUGUUGCUGAGUG